AUCGCUUCUCAGCCUUUUGGCUAAGAUCAAGUGUAGAAAUAGUUCUUUGUCUCAAUUCCAAUCUUUGUUGUCAGGAUAUCAUUAGCAAACACCAUUC
ensembl:snRNA U2 U2 spliceosomal RNA